AGAAACGAGUUCUAGUCCUUAAAGAAAGUCACUUAAACUGUUUUGGCUUCCUCGUAUGGAAGAUGAAAAUGGUAAUAUAAUUGACUUAGUAGGGUUGCUGUAAGUAUGAGUUAGUGUGUAAAUGUUUACAAUUACGCAUGGCACACAGCAGCCGCCACCUUUUCUAUCAGGGCUGUUCUCACCCAACUGUAAAACAGGAAGGCGUACCCAGCUGGAUCCGGGCCCUGGGUUCUCAGGCAUUGUGAUUGGUCCCAGCAUAUGACGCAAGGCGGGUUUCAUUGAUGGAAUUGCUGUCAAUUAGCGAAGGGCGGAAACCAUGCGGAGAGGGCGGUCCUUUAGUGCCACACUUGCGCGACUCGCUCCUUUCUUUUCAGGCUUAGCUACUGCGCAUGCGUCUGGCCCUCUUGAUGUUCCCGGCGUGCCCCGCAACGGCUUCCGGCAUGACGUAGUAGAGAAGAUGGCGUGGUAGGCGCGUCGCGCGCCUGAGGGCCUUUUGUGGUGAGGUGGGGCUUACGGGUUGCGGCUCCGCUCUCUGUCCUGAGGCUCUCAGAUUGCACUCUGGGUUCCUGGACGCAAAAACUCGGAGUGGCUGCGUGAUGCAGCGUGAACUGGGUCCUCUGGGGACGCGUGGGGAACGAGGCAGCCCGGAGUGCCUGCCUUGUUGCCCUUCGGACCUCCAGUCCAUUCGGGUUCCCCAGUGAGGCCUCCUUUGAAGGGCUCGGUGGCGCUUGCCCUUCACACUAAGAAAACACUCGUUUCCUAAAGCUCGACUGCGCCCUUGUGCUGAGCGGUGGGGACACGAAGACAGCACAGAAACACUGUUUACCCUCAGCGAGCCCCCGAACUGUUGGAGUGGAUAAACCCGCCAGAAACAAAUUACAGCGUUAGGCGGGUUAAGAUGGAGCACCCUGAGAAACGUUACAGAGAGAUCCGGAGAGUUCAGAGGAUCAGGAUGCUUCAAGAAGAUGGGGGUAGUGGUGUCAUCAGUCCUCAUCCUGGGGUUUUUGUCUUUGAUGGUGCACUCCUUGAGGACAUGAAAUUUUUCUUGGACGUUUCCAAUACCUAGGCUCAGGGGCCCUUCCCUGAUUGGGAGGGGUAGAGACCAGCUGUCUGUCGUGUUUAUUAUCUAUGGAAAGGAUGAAUUAGGUCUUGGCGACUUAAGGAGGGAAAAUUUUGAGUAGAGUUUUUAUCAGAACUAGCAGGAGGUGAUUCUUCAGAGUUGCAGCAACUGAAUUAGGACAAUAAUUGUAAGAGUGUCGUCAUGGAAAGUGAGCAGUUCUUCUUGAAGGCCUAACUGAACUGGACUGAGGCAAGACGUCAAGCUCUAUGUCAUCUGCCAGUCUGUUUAUAGGUGUACCCUCAAUUCUUGAAUGUUCUAACUUCUGGCAGCAGAACAACAAAAGGCAACCCUGGUCUUGGCCAGCUCAAACAGGAAGAAAGCAAAGUGCUAACUACUCAGCCAGCAUAGGCUCAGGCUGUGAAAGGCAAGGCCAUGCUAGAGGAGGAGAGAGAAGAAAGACCUGGUCUGGAGGCCUAACCAGCAGUCUGACAAUGCAAAGUAGUGAAACUCCAUGGGAAAAGAUGACAUGAACUUAGUGAAAGAGGUUGGCAAAUGCAAAAUCAGGGCUCUAAAAUGCAAGAGGAAUAAUCUUUAAACUCCAUGAAAACCAAAACUCCUGGCUUGGAUAGGGUGACACAUCAAGAUGAUGAUAAUGCCAGGAUCAGUGACAGCUCCUACUCAACUGCUAGACUAAUGGCC